rnacentral:tmRNA from 1 species
GGGGGCGUAAUGGCUUCGACGGGGGUCUUGCAGCCGGGAUAGCGAGCCGAGAUUUACGGGAUCUCGUAAAACACCGUAAUUUAAACACAAACGCUAAUAACAGAACAUUAGCCGCGGCCUAAUUUAGGCUGCCGUCCCACCCGGGAGUACUGCGGCCCGGGCUGGGGCGUCGAUGAGCAGUGAACGUGCGCCGGGUAAGAUUUGCCCCGGCCAUGAACCAUGAAUCUACCGACCGCACAAGCCCGCUCUUUGGCGUGUGCGCGGGGGAAUCCCAAACAUAGAGCUACGCUCGUAGAGGUCCCCGUGAAUGGACUUUCGGACAGGGGUUCAACUCCCCUCGCCUCCACCA